AGCUCUGGGGUGUGACACGUUAGAUUGCAAAUCUAAAGAAGUAGGCUAACUACCUACCGGGGCUU
rnacentral:tRNA from 1 species